UACGGAGGGUGCAAGCGUUAUCCGGAUUCACUGGGUUUAAAGGGUGCGUAGGCGGUUAGGUAAGUCCGUGGUGAAAUCCUGCAGCUUAACUGCAGAACUGCCGUGGAUACUAUCUAUCUUGAAUAUCGUGGAGGUUAGCGGAAUAUGGCAUGUAGCGGUGAAAUGCUUAGAUAUGCGAUAGGACACCAAUGGCGAAGGCAGCUUACUACACAGUUAUUGACACUGAGGCACGAAAGCGUGGGGAGCAAACAGG
rnacentral:rRNA from 1 species